rnacentral:rRNA from 1 species
UCCUACGGGAGGCAGCAGCGGGGAAUAUUGCACAAUGGGCGCAAGCCUGAUGCAGCAACGCCGCGUGAGGGACGAAGGCCUUCGGGUUGUAAACCUCUUUUAGUAGGGAAGAAGCGACUGGGUUUUCCUGGGAGUGACGGUACCUGCAGAAAAAGCACCGGCUAACUACGUGCCAGCAGCCGCGGUAAUACGUAGGGUGCAAGCGUUGUCCGGAAUUAUUGGGCGUAAAGAGCUCGUAGGCGGUUUGUCGCGUCUGCUGUGAAAACCCGAGGCUCAACCUCGGGCCUGCAGUGGGUACGGGCAGACUAGAGUGCGGUAGGGGAGAUUGGAAUUCCUGGUGUAGCGGUGGAAUGCGCAGAUAUCAGGAGGAACACCAACGGCGAAGGCAGAUCUCUGGGCCGUAACUGACGCUGAGGAGCGAAAGCAUGGGGAGCGAACAGGAUUAGAUACCCUGGUAGUCCAUGCCGUAAACGUUGGGAACUAGAUGUGGGGACCAUUCCACGGUCUCCGUGUCGCAGCUAACGCAUUAAGUUCCCCGCCUGGGGAGUACGGCCGCAAGGCUAAAACUCAAAGGAAUUGACGGGGGCCCGCACAAGCGGCGGAGCAUGCGGAUUAAUUCGAUGCAACGCGAAGAACCUUACCAAGGCUUGACAUAUACCGGAAACGGCUGGAAACAGUCGCCCCGCAAGGUCGGUAUACAGGUGGUGCAU